rnacentral:rRNA from 1 species
AGUGAACGCUGGCGGUAGGCCUAACACAUGCAAGUCGAACGGCAGCACAGUAAGAGCUUGCUCUUACGGGUGGCGAGUGGCGGACGGGUGAGGAAUACAUCGGAAUCUACUUUUUCGUGGGGGAUAACGUAGGGAAACUUACGCUAAUACCGCAUACGACCUACGGGUGAAAGCAGGGGAUCUUCGGACCUUGCGCGAUUGAAUGAGCCGAUGUCGGAUUAGCUAGUUGGCGGGGUAAAGGCCCACCAAGGCGACGAUCCGUAGCUGGUCUGAGAGGAUGAUCAGCCACACUGGAACUGAGGCACGGUCCAGACUCCUACGGGAGGCAGCAGUGGGGAAUAUUGGACAAUGGGCGCAAGCCUGAUCCAGCCAUACCGCGUGGGUGAAGAAGGCCUUCGGGUUGUAAAGCCCUUUUGUUGGGAAAGAAAAGCAGCAGGUUAAUACCCCACUGUUCUGACGGUACCCAAAGAAUAAGCACCGGCUAACUUCGUG